rnacentral:rRNA from 1 species
GACGGGACCCCGCACAAGCGGUGGAUCAUGUUGUUCAAUUCGAUGAUACGCGAAGAACCUUACCAGGUCUUGACAUCCCCCGCGAUGCUUUAGAGAUAAAGCGGAGGUAUUCGGGGAGACAGGUGGUGCAUGGUUGUCGUCAGCUCGUGUCGUGAGAUGUUGGGUUAAGUCCCGCAACGAGCGCAACCCCUAUUGCUAGUUACCAUCAUUAAGUUGGGGACUCUAGCGAGACUGCCAGUGAUAAACUGGAGGAAGGUGGGGAUGACGUCAAAUCAUCAUGCCCCUUAUGACCUGGGCUACAAACGUGAUACAAUGGCUGGAGCAAAGGGAUGCGAAGCAGUGAUGUGGAGCGAAACCCAUAAAAACAGUCUCAGUUCGGAUUGAAGUCUGCAACUCGACUUCAUGAAGUCGGAAUCGCUAGUAAUCGCGGAUCAGAACGCCGCGGUGAAUACGUUCUCGGGGUUU